rnacentral:tRNA from 1 species
GAGGGUCUAGCUCAGGGGCUGAGUGUGUGCCUAGCACGCAUGAGGUCCUGGGUUCAACCCCCAGUACCUCCA